GGACUACCAGGGUAUCUAAUCCUGUUUGCUCCCCACGCUUUCGCGCCUCAGCGUCAGUAUCGGUCCAGAGCGCCGCCUUCGCCACCGGUGUUCUUCCCAAUAUCUACGAAUUUCACCUCUACACUGGGAAUUCCACGCUCCUCUCCCGAACUCAAGCAUCACAGUCCCAAGCGCAGUUCCCAGGUUGAGCCCGGGGCUUUCACGCCUGACUUGUCACGCCGCCUACGCGCCCUUUACGCCCAGUAAAUCCGAACAACGCUCGCCCCCUUCGUAUUACCGCGGCUGCUGGCAC
rnacentral:rRNA from 1 species